UAUGUUGUCUAGUCUGUUGUCUAGUCUGUUGUCUAGUCUGUUGUCUAGUCUGUUGUCUAGUCUGUUGUCUAGUCUGUUGUCUAGUCUGUUGUCUAGACUGUUGUCUAGUCUGUUCUGUAAUAUGUUGUCUAGUCUGUUGUCUCGUCUGUUGUCUAGUCUGUUGUCUAGUCUGUUGUCUAGUCUGUUGUCUAGACUGUUGUCUAGUCUGUUCUGUAAUAUGUUGUCUAGUCUGUUGUCUAGUCUGUUGUCUAGUCUGUUGUCUAGUCUGUUUAAAAAUAUGUUGUCUAGUCUGUUGUCUAGUCUGUUGUCUAGUCUGUUGUCUAGUCUGUUUAAAAAUAUGUUGUCUAGUCUGUUGUCUCGUCUGUUGUCUAGUCUGUUGUCUAGUCUGUUGUCUAGACUGUUGUCUAGUCUGUUCUGUAAUAUGUUGUCUAGUCUGUUGUCUCGUCUGUUGUCUAGUCUGUUGUCUAGUCUGUUGUCUAGUCUGUUGUCUAGUCUGUUGUCUAGUCUGUUGUCAAGUCUGUUCUGUAAUAUGUUGUCUAGUCUGUUCUGUAAUAUGUUGUCUAGUCUGUUGUCUAGACAGUUGUCUAGUCUGUUGUCUAGUCUGUUGUCUAGUCUGUUGUCUAGACUGUUGUCUAGUCUGUUCUGUAAUAUGUUGUCUAGUCUGUUGUCUCGUCUGUUGUCUAGUCUGUUGUCCCGCCAGCUGUCUAGUCUGUUUAAAAAUAUGUUGUCUAGUCUGUCAUCUAGUCUGUUGUCUAGUCUGUUGUCUAGUCAGUUGUCCAGUCUGUUGUCUAGUCUGUUUUCUAAUCUGUUGUUAUUGAUAAAUCGUUGAGUCAUAAGGUGAGAGAGUGGGUACUGUAGGUGAGAGUGUGGGUACUGUAAGUGAGAGUGUGGGUACUGUAGGUGAGAGUGUGGGUACUGUAGGUGAGAGUGUGAGUACUGUAGGUGAGAGAGUGGGUACUGUAGGUGAGAGUGUGGGUACUGUAGGUGAGAGUGUGGGUACUGUAGGUGAGAAUGUGGGUACUGUAGGUGAGAGUGUGGGUACUGUAGGUGAGAGUGUGGGUACUGUAGGUGAGAGUGUGGGUACUGUAGGUGAGAGUGUGGGUACUGUAGGUGAGAGUGGGUACUGUAGGUGAGAGUGUGGGUACUGUAGGUGAGAGUGGGUACUGUAGGUGAGAGUGUGGGUACUGUAGGUGAGAGUGUGGGUACUGUAAGUGAGAGUGUGAGUACUGUAGGUGAGAGUGUGGGUACUGUAAGUGAGAGUGUGAGUACUGUAGGUGAGAGUGUGGGUACUGUAAGUGAGAGUGUGAGUACUGUAGGUGAGAGUGCGGGAACUGUAGGUGAGAGUGUGGGUACUGUAGGUGAGAGUGGGUACUGUAGGUGUGAGUGUGGGUACUGUAGGUGAGAAUGUGGGUACUGUAGGUGAGAGUGUGGGUACUGUAGGUGAGAGUGUGGGUACUGUAGGUGAGAGUGGGUACUGUAAGUGAGAGUGUGAGUACUGUAGGUGAGAGUGUGAGUACUGUAGGUGAGAGAGUGGGUACUGUAGGUGAGAGUGUGGGUACUGUAAGUGAGAGUGUGAGUACUGUAGGUGAGAGUGCGGGUACUGUAGGUGAGAGUGUGGGUACUGUAGGUGAGAGUGGGUACUGUAGGUGUGAGUGUGGGUACUGUAGGUGAGAAUGUGGGUACUGUAGGUGAGAGUGUGGGUACUGUAGGUGAGAGUGGGUACUGUAGGUGAGAAUGUGGGUACUGUAGUUGAGAGUGUGGGUACUGUAGGUGAGAGUGUGGGUACUGUAGGUGAGAAUGUGGGUACUGUUGUUGAGAGUGGGUACUGUAAGUGAGAGUGGGUACUGUAGGUGAGAAUGUGGGUACUGUAGGUGAGAAUGUGGGUACUGUAGUUGAGAGUGGGUAUUGUAGGUGAGAAUGUGGGUACUGUAGGUGAGAGUGGGUACUGUAGGUGAGAGUGUGGGUACUGUAGUUGAGAGUGGGUACUGUAGAUGAGAAUGUGGGUACUGUAGGUGAGAGUGGGUACUGUAGGUGAGAGUGUGGGUACUGUAGUUGAGAGUGGGUACUGUAGUUGAGAGUGGGUACUGUAGGUGAGAGUGGGUACUGUAUGUGAGAGUGGGUACUGUAGGCGAGAGUGUGGGUACUGUAGGUGAGUGUGGGUACUGUAGGUGAGAAUGUGGGUACUGUAGGUGAGAGUGGGUACUGUAGGUGAGAGUGUGGGUACUGUAGUUGAGAGUGGGUACUGUAGUUGAGAGUGGGUACUGUAGGUGAGAGUGGGUACUGUAUGUGAGAGUGGGUACUGUAGGCGAGAGUGUGGGUACUGUAGGUGAGUGUGGGUACUGUAGGUGAGAAUGUGGGUACUGUAGGUGAGAGUGGGUACUAUAAGUGAGAAGUAAGUAGCCUAGUUGUGUGUAACUCAACCUCUGGUUCUGUAUGUCUCCCCCCCUGCCCCUUUCCUCCACCCUCCCGCAACACCCCCCCCACCUCCUCCCAUCCCCCUUCCUCUCUCUUCUUCCCUCCCUCUCUCUCUACCCCUCUCCUCCACCCCUUCCUCUCUC